ensembl:lncRNA
AAUAAAAAAAUAUUGUUAUCAGUGUUGAAAAUAGUUGCACUGCAUUAUUUGCCAGCAGUCAUAUCACCCUGCAGCCCAAGACUGGUUGCCCACUGAAGCUAAGCAGGGUUGAGCCUGGUCAGUACCUGGAUGGGAGGCCUCCUGGGAAAACCAUGUAGCUGCUGGAAGAGGUGUUAGUGAGGCCAGCAGGGGGUGCUCACCUUGUAGUCUGUGUGUGCCCUAAUAGCCCAGUGUAGUGACAGAGACACUAUACUGACUAAAAGCACUGUCUUUCAGAUGAGAUGUUAAACCGAGGUCCUGACUAUCUGUGGUCAUUAAAAAUCCCAGGAUGUCCUUCAAAAAAGUUUAGGGGUGUAACCCUGGCAUCCUGGCCAAAUUUACUCAUUGGCCUCUGACCAUCAUGGCCUCCUAACCAUCCCCAUAUCUGCUGAUUAGCUCCAACUCUCUGUCUCCUCUUCACCAAUAAGUUGGUGUGUGAUGGGUGCUCUGGCGCAAUAUGGCUGCCGUCACAUCAUCCAGGUGGAUGCUGCACACUGGUGGUGUUUGAGAAGAUUCCCUCCUUCUAUGUAAAGCACUUUGAGCGCUCAGAAAAGCACUAUAUAAAUGUAAGGAAUAAUUAUUAUUAUUUGUUUGUUAUGUUUAUGGAAAAUGUGAUACAUAUUUUUUAGGAUUCUUUACUGUAUAGAAAGUUUAAAAGUAGCAAUAUUAAGCUUACUACUGUAAAUUACAUUAAUCUCAAUGUAAACUGUCUUAUAUUUAUUAUAGCAACAUAUCAGACCAGGCUUUAGAGCAUUCCUUUAACUUUCUGUCAUCUUCUUUAGUGCCACCCACUCUCUUCUGGAACUACAUGGAAGACACUCGAACAACACUGCAGGAAAUGAAGAGGAGAGACUUGGCAACAAAUGCGACAUGGUAACAUGCAGAAAGGAUAUAGAGGGUUUUUUGAGGAAACAAGAACAGAGGAAAGAAGAAAAAAUAAGAGAGAGGUUGAAAAAGGUGAGAACGGCAGCUUGCCAGAGAGUUGAGAUGCUGCAGAUAGAUAGAGACAUUUGAGUCCAUCUCUAUAAUAUACAGCACAUAUCAUUCACAGCACUGCCUAAUUCAUUAUCCACACUGCUGUGCAAUUAUGCAGCGUCUGCAAUCCGGAGCACACACGCGCAUGCGCACACACUUU